GGCAGGCUUAACACAUGCAAGUCGAGGGGCAGCGGGGAGGAAGCUUGCUUUCUCCGCCGGCGACCGGCGCACGGGUGAGUAACACGUAUGCAACCUGCCCCUGUCAGGGGGACAACCCGCCGAAAGGCGGGCUAAACCCGCGUACAUGCCACCGGGGCAUCCCGGAGGCAGGAAAGGCUUCGGCCGGACAGGGAUGGGCAUGCGGCGCAUUAGGCAGUAGGCGGGGUAACGGCCCACCUAACCGACGAUGCGUAGGGGUUCUGAGAGGAAGGUCCCCCACACUGGUACUGAGACACGGACCAGACUCCUACGGGAGGCAGCAGUGAGGAAUAUUGGUCAAUGGUCGGGAGACUGAACCAGCCAAGCCGCGUGAGGGAGGAAGGUACAGAGUAUCGUAAACCUCUUUUGUCAGGGAACAAAGGCGGGGACGUGUCCCCGGAUGAGUGUACCUGAAGAAAAAGCAUCGGCUAACUCCGUGCCAGCAGCCGCGGUAAUACGGAGGAUGCGAGCGUUAUCCGGAUUUAUUGGGUUUAAAGGGUGCGCAGGCGGUCUGUUAAGUCAGCGGUCAAAGCCCGGGGCUCAACCCCGGCCCGCCGUUGAAACUGGCAGUCUCGAGUUGGAGAGAAGUAUGCGGAAUGCGCGGUGUAGCGGUGAAAUGCAUAGAUAUCGCGCAGAACUCCGAUUGCGAAGGCAGCAUGCCGGCUCCACACUGACGCUGAGGCACGAAAGCGUGGGUAUCGAACAGGAUUAGAUACCCUGGUAGUCCACGCAGUAAACGAUGAAUGCUGGCUGUCCGGGGGGACUGACCCCUGGGUGGCGAAGCGAAAGCGAUAAGCAUUCCACCUGGGGAGUACGCCGGCAACGGUGAAACUCAAAGGAAUUGACGGGGGCCCGCACAAGCGGAGGAACAUGUGGUUUAAUUCGAUGAUACGCGAGGAACCUUACCCGGGCUCAAACGGGGAGUGGCGCAGGCAGAGACGCCUGUUUCCCACGGGACACUCCCCGAGGUGCUGCAUGGUUGUCGUCAGCUCGUGCCGUGAAGUGUCGGCUUAAGUGCCAUAACGAGCGCAACCCCCGCGUGCAGUUGCUAACAGUCAACGCUGAGGACUCUGCACGGACUGCCGGCGCAAGCCGCGAGGAAGGCGGGGAUGACGUCAAAUCAGCACGGCCCUUACGUCCGGGGCGACACACGUGUUACAAUGGGUGGUACAGCGGGAAGCCAGGCGGCGACGCCGAGCGGAACCCGAAAUCCACUCUCAGUUCGGAUCGGAGUCUGCAACCCGACUCCGUGAAGCUGGAUUCGCUAGUAAUCGCGCAUCAGCCAUGGCGCGGUGAAUACGUUCCCGGGCCUUGUAC
rnacentral:rRNA from 1 species